CAGUAGCCACGGUAAUACGAAGGGUGCAAGCGUUAAUCGGAAUUACUGGGCGUAAAGCGCGCGUAGGUGGUUUGGUAAGAUGGAUGUGAAAUCCCCGGGCUCAACCUGGGAACUGCAUCCAUAACUGCCUGACUAGAGUACGGUAGAGGGUGGUGGAAUUUCCUGUGUAGCGGUGAAAUGCGUAGAUAUAGGAAGGAACACCAGUGGCGAAGGCGACCACCUGGACUGAUACUGACACUGAGGUGCGAAAGCGUGGGGAGCAAACAGGAUUAGAUACCCCUGUAGUCCCUGUCUCUUAUAA
rnacentral:rRNA from 1 species